GACGAACGCUGGCGGCGUGCCUAAUACAUGCAAGUCGAGCGGAGCGGCGGACGGGUGAGUAAUGCCUAGGAAUCUGCCUGGUAGUGGGGGAUAACGUCCGGAACCGGGCGCUAAUACCGCAUCCUAUCAGACUAGCCUCGGUCGGAUUAGAUAGUUGGUGGGGUAAAGGCCUACCAAGGCGACGAUCCGUAACUGGUCUGAGAGGAUGAUCAGUCACACUGGAACUGAGACACGGUCCAGACUCCUACGGGAGGCAGCAGUGGGGAAUAUUGGACAAUGGGCGAAAGCCUGAUGCAGCCAUGCCGCGUGUGUGAAGAAGGUCUUCGGAUUGUAAAGCACUUUCAGUUGGGAGGCGUUACCAACAGAAUAAGCACCGGCUAACUUCGUGCCAGCAGCCGCGGUAAUAC
rnacentral:rRNA from 1 species